UGGGGAAUAUUGCACAAUGGGCGGAAGCCUGAUGCAGCGACGCCGCGUGAGGGAUGACGGCCUUCGGGUUGUAAACCUCUUUCAGCACGGAAGAAGCGAAAGUGACGGUACGUGCAGAAGAAGCGCCGGCUAACUACGUGCCAGCAGCCGCGGUAAUACGUAGGGCGCAAGCGUUGUCCGGAAUUAUUGGGCGUAAAGAGCUCGUAGGCGGUUUGUCGCGUCUGCUGUGAAAGCCCGGGGCUUAACCCCGGGUGUGCAGUGGGUACGGGCAGACUUGAGUGCAGUAGGGGAGACUGGAAUUCCUGGUGUAGCGGUGAAAUGCGCAGAUAUCAGGAGGAACACCGAUGGCGAAGGCAGGUCUCUGGGCUGUUACUGACGCUGAGGAGCGAAAGCAUGGGGAGCGAACAGGAUUAGAUACCCUGGUA
rnacentral:rRNA from 1 species